UUCUCAUUUCCUUUUCACUUCUUCAUUUCCUCUUAUCGUUCAUCUUAUUCCUAAUAUAUAUUCUUUUCAUAUGUACUUCUUGACUCACAAAUCACUCAUCUACACGGUACAGAUAUCUAUAUGUAUGGAAUGAAUUCAUGGGUUGCUCAAAAGUGAUCUUGCAAUUGCAGUGAAUAUAUGUUCGCGGAUUGAUGUGAAUGUUGAGGUGCAGCUUUAGAAUCAUAUCUGUCAUGGUUUUAUUACUUUUGACAGUGUUUCUUGUUGUGCUACCGCUGCUUUUGCCACCACUGCCGCCGCCUCCUUUGAUUCUUCUAUUUGUUCCGGUCUUGAUCAUGGCGGUGCUUGUAUUUCUCGCCAUGUCUCGCUUGCCACAAGUUCCAGAUCAUCACCAUAUGGCAGCUGUUGUUAGUUAUGUUUGAUACACAUAUGAACCAGCUUCUCUUUUUUAUUUUUCUGAGGAGAAAAGGCAAUAUUUUAUCCCCACACUACUCAUCUCAUGAUGUUAAUGAAAUUUGAACAUCCGACCUCCGCAACAUCGGCUAGUCCAGAGGCCACAACUCACCAGUGAAGCAGCGUUACUUCAUGAUAUUUCGAUCUUUCGUAAGUCCUCAGAAAUUACGGUUCAAGUGAAACGAUGAUGAUGUUAUCGUCGCCGUUCGAGCUGUAGCACAACGCCUCACCCCAAUGACAUUUGGAGGAGGAGAAGAGCUUCGGAAUUCCAGCCUAGAAUGGUCUUUGCAAGCCACACUGCGGCUGUUGUAAAAGCAUCACCGGAUACGACUCCGUCAUAUCUCUGCCAUGGGCUCCACUACUAGAGCAGCUGCGAUGUCUAACUCCACCACCGUAUCACCUUACACCACCUUGCUUGACAGUUGUGUCACUUUCCUGGUACCAGCCAAUUUCCCCAGUACAUCACUAGCAGUUUACUCCUCGCCUGCGCCUUCUUCUUGAUCAAGAAUUGAUCGCAACCUGCUGGAGCACAAGCGUUGCAGCAACCCCUUCACCUUGUUGUAUUGCAAAUCCACCUCCACCACCAACACUUCAGCAAAUUUAUACUCUCUUGUUAUCGAGCAACCAACCCAUGGAAGUCCUAGCAAUGAAGCGGUGGGAUCUCCUUGUUGAGAAUAUAUACAUCCCUCAUAGGAAAAAUUGGACUUUGCCUAUGAGUUUAUAAGGGUUUAGACUAUUCCAUCAAUUGUCAAUUGGUUUUGGAUGUGAAUCCCCUCAACCUCACCCAAACCAUUGUACUCUACCAAAAAUAACAUCAUUCCACUGCCAUUGUUCAUGAAGCCAAACACGAACCGCUCCUUACCAUGGACUGAGAUCGAGCCGCUGCCAUCAUCUCGGAUUUAUCAUCAUUAGGUUUGCUGGUCACCAGCCGUCUCACGAAAUAGUAGAAGGAACUAGCCAUCGUCGUUGUACCCACCUAUCCAAAGUCCACCACCACAUCUUCAGUCAAUGUUAAGGCCGUCGAUCAUUGAGCCACCACAUCUUGAGUCAUCUCAGAAGAUUGAAAGGUGUUGAGAAGAUCCAGAAAAAAAAAAAAAAGCCCGAGCAGAUGGCUCUAUUUUGUUUUGAGUGGAUGGUUGAAACUCAGAAUUUGAGUUGGGCCAUCGAAAACUGAAUUGAAAAUAAAACUGACCCAAAAAUGAGUAUUUCUAAAUGUACCAAAUAAAUUUCUAAGUAUACCUAGUCAUUUAUGUGAGAUAAUACUUGGCUAACCAUAGUCAAUAACAAGAGGACACGUGUCCAUUUAACAA